rnacentral:rRNA from 1 species
CAAUAGCGUAUAUUAAAGUUGUUGCAGUUAAAAAGCUCGUAGUUGAAUUUCUGUCAGGAGUGACCGGGCCUUUGGAUGAACUUCCAUUGUUUUUUGCUCUGUUUGUCAUCUCUAGACAUCCUGGAAUAUUUUUUUUUUAAAUGUUCCUCUUUUACUGUUAACAAAAUAGAGUGUUCCAAGCAAAGCGUAGUUUUGAAUACAUUAGAAUGGAAUAAUAAGAUAGGACUUUGGUGCUAUUUUGUUGGUUUGCACACCAAGGUAAUGAUUAAUAGGGACAGUUGGGGGUAUUCGUAUUUAAUUGUCAGAGGUGAAAUUCUUGGAUUUAUGAAAGACGAACUACUGCGAAAGCAUUUACCAAGGAUGUUUUCAUUAA